UGUUCGCGAAUGAAGAAAUUGCGUCAUCCGGAGCAACAUCUAUGUUAUAAAUGGGAAGCUCGCGUUAGAACAGCGGCAAAUCACUGGGUGCAGUAGAUAGUAUAACAAACAUAACGAGCUAAAGUAAAGUGAAGAUACGUGAAGUGCGCGCGGAUAUAGCAUUUUAAUUUUAAAUAAUUAAGAAGAAGAAAUCCAGAAAAAAAUACCAAGUUUUGAAAACGCAAGGAUCGAUCGAAUUUCGAUUCAAUUUAUAAACGAAAUCCGUAUUGCUGCAAGAUGAAAUCUUUCGCCUGUAUUCUAUUAGUGAUAAUGGUACUCAAUUUAGUGCCAGAGAACCUUUGCCAGCAAAUGAAUAAUCCGAGCAAUCAGCCUAUGGGACCAGGCAUGAAUCAGCCUAUGGGACCAGGCAUGAAUCAGCCUAUGGGACCAGGCAUGAAUCAGCCAGGCAUGUUUCGGCCUAUGGGAACAGGAAGUUGGCGUCGACCUAUUUUAAGACGGGGUCCGGGUUACUACAACCGCGGAGGCGGGAUGCCAAUGACAGGCGCGGGCAACAUGUAGAGUUGACAGGCCCAAAAUUCAGAAUUUCGACAAUGUUAGCUGAAAACCCGAUGCACAGUAGAAUUACAAAAUAUCGUCGCCGCAGCACAACCACAUAAUGACAAAAAUAUUUUGUGUACCGACGAAAUUUCAAUAAAAUGACCUUAUUAGUACUACAUA